CCUACGGGAGGCAGCAGUGGGGAAUAUUGGGCAAUGGAGGCAACUCUGAACCAGCAAUGCCGCGUGAGGGAUGAAGGUAAUUUUAUUGGAAAGCUCUUUUCUUUGGAACGAAUAAAUGAUGGUACCAAAGGAAUAAGCCCCGGCUAACUACGUGCCAGCAGCCGCGGUAAUACGGAGGGGGCAAGCGUUGUUCGGAAUGACUGGGCGUAAAGGGUGUGUAGGGGGUUUGAAAAGUUAGAUGUGUAAUACCCAGGGCUUAACUCGGGUGUUGCAUCUAAAACUGUUAGACUUGAGUACUGGUGAGGAUAGUGGAAUGCCUAGUGUAGCGGUGGAAUGCUUAGAUAUUAGGCGGAACAUCAGUGGCGAAGGCGACUAUCUGGACAGCUACUGACACUGAGGCACGAAAGCGUGGGGAGCAAACAGGAUUAGAUACCCCGGUAGUC
rnacentral:rRNA from 1 species